UUAAAUCACUUUAACCAUGCUGUGCACAAACAAACGAACUUAAAAUUAACCGAAAGUAAAGCAACUCAAAACUACGUGGCACACCACAUUGUGUUGAAUUCCCGAAAGAGACAAAUAAUCCGCCAUCUGACUAUCRAYGGGCUAGAUAACCUCAAUCAAUUGGYGACGUUAGAAAAGAUCCUCAACCAUUUUCGAGCAUAAAUAAGUGGUUUUGGAAAAGCGAAUUUCAAAAGCUUGCAAAAAAAUAAAAAACUAAAAAUUCGGAGGGAGAGAGCGACAUCUAUUAGAACAACSUAGAUAAURUCAAGAAGUAUUUUCAUGAAACUAAAAAUAGUCGAACGCCACUGGUAAAAGCAAUAAGUACAAAGCACUCGCAUACACAGACACAGAGCGUCGUCGUUCAGGGUUACCAAUUAAUUACGAAAACCGAGGAGAACGAGGCCAAUACUCGCUCACGUGACUUCAGAGGUUGCUGACGUAUGGCCUAGCAACAAACAGUUGAAUAACAUCGGUAAUGUUUCCGACAUCACCGACCAGGAGCUCAGAAAUAGCGAGCGAUAGUCGAAAUCGAACACUUUCAAAGCCAGUAGACAAAACCUCCUGGUAGGAUUGCCUAUCUUCACGGUCAGAAAGAAGGGGACCACUUUGCCAUGCGAUUCGUUCUCUGGCUGGUAAAUUAAAAAGGGAAAGGGAAGGUCCCGCCUAAGUCCCCACCCACCCAACGCGAUGAUUGGUAGAAAAGUGGCAGAUGUUUUGAGUUAGUGUGAUAUUUCUCAGGUUUUUUUGUUGACGAAAUGGCAAAUUAUGGCUUCAAAUAAAGGUGGCUGUAUUGCAGCUCAUAAAAAGGACUCUUGGUAUUUGGCCAUUUUCAGACCCUAGUUGUAAUGGGGUUUUAGUAAAUUUAACUUUUAUAAAUCGUCCCGAUUCAUUAAGUCCUGUUGAUCUGACUAAGUUGUAUUCCUAGAAAUUACAUGGCUUAUGUUCAGGAAUACACAAACUAGCCAGUGCACUGCCGGAUACCAAGAAGAACUAACUUUAAAUAUAUAUAUAUAUAUGAAUUAAAGUAGAAGUUCUUAAUAACAAAUACGUUAGUAAAUGACAAUAAAAAUUAAAUUUGGAAAA